rfam:Drosophila ananassae strain TSC#14024-0371.13 Ctg01_15715, whole genome shotgun sequence.
UUUUUUAUGAUGAUAACUUAUGAUAGGGACAUCUGAUGUCUAUGACUGAUUUAUCAUGAUAGUAGAACUGAUUAUA